rnacentral:rRNA from 1 species
UACGUAGGGACCAAGCGUUGUUCGGAUUUACUGGGCGUAAAGGGCGCGUAGGCGGCGUGUUAAGUCAGCUGUGAAAUCUCCAAGCUUAACUUGGAACGGUCAGCUGAUACUGAUGUGCUAGAGUGCAGAAGGGGCAAUCGGAAUUCUUGGUGUAGCGGUGAAAUGCGUAGAUAUCAAGAGGAACACCUGAGGUGAAGACGGGUUGCUGGGCUGACACUGACGCUGAGGCGCGAAAGCUAGGGUAG